rfam:Rhodobacteraceae bacterium HLTCCO07 ITZY_scaf_84, whole genome shotgun sequence.
GCGGGUGUGGCGGAACUGGUAGACGCACCAGAUUUAGGUUCUGGCGCCGCAAGGCGUGGGGGUUCGAGUCCCUCCACCCGCA